UGUCAAGAUAUUGUCUGUGUCUUUUUUGA
rnacentral:piRNA from 1 species